AUUGAACGCUGGCGGCAUGCCUUACACAUGCAAGUCGAACGGCAGCAUGAUCUAGCUUGCUAGAUUGAUGGCGAGUGGCGAACGGGUGAGUAAUACAUCGGAACGUGCCCUGUAGUGGGGGAUAACUAGUCGAAAGAUUAGCUAAUACCGCAUACGACCUGAGGGUGAAAGUGGGGGACCGCAAGGCCUCAUGCUAUAGGAGCGGCCGAUGUCUGAUUGGCUAGUUGGUGGGGUAAAGGCUCACCAAGGCGACGAUCAGUAGCUGGUCUGAGAGGACGAUCAGCCACACUGGGACUGCAACACGGCCCAGACUCCUACGGGAGGCAGCAGUGGGGAAUUUUGGACAAUGGGCGAAAGCCUGAUCCAGCAAUGCCGCGUGUGUGAAGAAGGCCUUCGGGUUGUAAAGCACUUUUGUCCGGAAAGAAAUGGCUCUGGUUAAUACCUGGGGUCGAUGACGGUACCGGAAGAAUAAGGACCGGCUAACUACGUG
rnacentral:rRNA from 1 species